CAGUAGCCGCGGUAAUACGGAGGGUGCAAGCGUUAAUCGGAAUUACUGGGCGUAAAGCGCACGCAGGCGGUUUGUUAAGUCAGAUGUGAAAUCCCCGAGCUUAACUCGGGAACUGCAUUUGAAACUGGCAGGCUAGAGUCUCGUAGAGGGGGGUAGAAUUCCAGGUGUAGCGGUGAAAUGCGUAGAGAUCUGGAGGAAUACCGGUGGCGAAGGCGGCCCCCUGGACAAAGACUGACGCUCAGGUGCGAAAGCGUGGGGAGCAAACAGGAUUAGAUACCCCGGUAGUCCCUGUCUCUUAUAC
rnacentral:rRNA from 1 species